rnacentral:rRNA from 1 species
UACGGGGGGGGCAAGCGUUGUUCGGAAUUACUGGGCGUAAAGGGCUCGUAGGCGGCCAACUAAGUCGGAUGUGAAAUCCCCAGGCUUAACCUGGGAACUGCAUCCGAUACUGGAUGGCUUGAAUCCGGGAGAGGGAUGCAGAAUUCCAGGUGUAGCGGUGAAAUGCGUAGAUAUCUGGAGGAAUACCGGUGGCGAAGGCGGCAUCCUGGGCCGGCAUUGACGCUGAUGAGCGAAAGCUAGGGGAGCAAACGGG